GUGUCAGCCGCCGCGGUAAUACGGAGGGUGCGAGCGUUGUCCGGAUUUAUUGGGUUUAAAGGGUGCGUAGGCGGCCCGUUAAGUCCGGGGUGAAAGCCCGUUGCUCAACAACGGAACUGCCCUGGAUACUGGCGGGCUUGAGUAUAGUGGAGGUUGGCGGAAUGGACCGAGUAGCGGUGAAAUGCAUAGAUACGGUCCAGAACCCCGAUUGCGAAGGCAGCUGACUACACUACUACUGACGCUGAGGCACGACAGCGUGGGGAGCGAACAGGAUUAGAAACCCCUGUAGUCC
rnacentral:rRNA from 1 species